UACGUAUGGUGCAAGCGUUAUCCGGAUUUACUGGGUGUAAAGGGAGCGUAGACGGAGCAGCAAGUCUGAUGUGAAAACCCGGGGCUCAACCCCGGGAGUGCAUUGGAAACUGUUGAUCUAGAGUGCUGGAGAGGUAAGUGGAAUUCCUAGUGUAGCGGUGAAAUGCGUAGAUAUUAGGAGGAACACCAGUGGCGAAGGCGGCUUACUGGACAGUGACUGACGUUGAGGCUCGAAAGCGUGGGGAGCAAACAGG
rnacentral:rRNA from 1 species